AGCACCUACGGGUGUGAAGUCAUUGAUGCCAUGCUUCCAGGAAAAGCCUCUAAGCUUCAGAUUGUAAGGAAUCGUACCCCAAACCGACACAGGUGGUCGGGUAGAGAAUACCAAGGCGCUUGAGAGAACUCGGGUGAAGGAACUAGGCAAAAUGGUACCGUAACUUCGGGAGAAGGUACGCUCUCGACGGUGAAGUCCCUCGCGGAUGGAGCUAUUGAGAGUCGCAGAUACCAGGUGGCUGCAACUGUUUAUUAAAAACACAGCACUGUGCAAAAUCGUAAGAUGACGUAUACGGUGUGACGCCUGCCCGGUGCCGGAAGGUUAAUUGAUGGGGUUAGACUUCGGUCGAAGCUCUUGAUCGAAGCCCCGGUAAACGGCGGCCGUAACUAUAACGGUCCUAAGGUAGCGAAAUUCCUUGUCGGGUAAGUUCCGACCUGCACGAAUGGCGUAAUGAUGGCCACGCUGUCUCCACCCGAGACUCAGUGAAAUUGAAAUCGCUGUGAAGAUGCAGUGUACCCGCGGCUAGACGGAAAGACCCCGUGAACCUUUACUACAGCUUGGCACUGAACAUUGACCCUACAUGUGUAGGAUAGGUGGGAGGCUUUGAAGCACGUACGCCAGUAUGUGUGGAGCCGUCCUUGAAAUACCACCCUUGUAGUGUUGAUGUUCUAACGUCGACCCCUUAUCGGGGUUGCGGACAGUGCCUGGUGGGUAGUUUGACUGGGGCGGUCUCCUCCCAAAGAGUAACGGAGGAGCACGAAGGUGGGCUAAUCACGGUUGGACAUCGUGAGGUUAGUGCAAUGGCAUAAGCCCGCUUGACUGCGAGAAUGACAAUUCGAGCAGGUGCGAAAGCAGGUCAUAGUGAUCCGGUGGUUCUGAAUGGAAGGGCCAUCGCUCAACGGAUAAAAGGUACUCCGGGGAUAACAGGCUGAUACCGCCCAAGAGUUCAUAUCGACGGCGGUGUUUGGCACCUCGAUGUCGGCUCAUCACAUCCUGGGGCUGAAGUCGGUCCCAAGGGUAUGGCUGUUCGCCAUUUAAAGUGGUACGCGAGCUGGGUUUAGAACGUCGUGAGACAGUUCGGUCCCUAUCUGCCGUGGGCGUUGGAAGAUUGAAGGGGGCUGCUCCUAGUACGAGAGGACCGGAGUGGACGAACCUCUGGUGUUCGGGUUGUGUCGCCAGACGCAUUGCCCGGUAGCUAAGUUCGGAAUCGAUAACCGCUGAAAGCAUCUAAGCGGGAAGCGAGCCCUGAGAUGAGUCUUCCCUGAUACUUUAAGUAUCCUAAAGGGUUGUCGGAGACUACGACGUUGAUAGGUCAGGUGUGUAAGUGCUGUGAGGCAUUGAGCUAACUGAUACUAAUUGCCCGUGAGGCUUAACCAUACAACAC
rnacentral:rRNA from 1 species